GACAAUAGUAGAGGAAAGAAAAGAAAAGAUAACCGAGUAAGAAGCAAAUAAAAAAAUUCGACAGAGAUGGGGGGAGAAAACAUCAGAAAGAUGGAGAGAAAAACAACUCUCUUUUUUUUGAAAAAGGAAAAAAAAUAUCAGAUAUUGAAUAUACUCCCUUAUAAUCCCCUAAUUCACUCCUAAAAUCGUACCCCCACUUCCCACUACACAUCCACCACUCAGAAACCCAAUUCAGCACAAUCUUGCCAAAAUUAGAAGUAAAAAAAUACAACCAUUGCUGUCCCAAAGAUUUGAACUCAUGACCUCC
rnacentral:lncRNA from 1 species